AAUCUUGAGAUUUUUAGGUGUGCUCAGAUGACAACAAAGGAAGAUGGAAGUUCUUUUAAUUUCGGCCUUCGUUUGUUAACCUGUGGAGCUGGCUUGGAAAGGGCAAAGAAAGAGUUAGCGGCAACGAAAAUAGUUUCUGGUUAGUCGGUACUCAAUAUGGGUUCUUGGGAAUAAGUGGUCGGACCUAGGCAGAUAUCAAAGUUUCUUCUGCAUAGCUGACGUAGACCAAACACCGGGGUUUUUCUUUUCCUGCAUGUAACUUACUCAAUGUGUCGCCUCCAAGGAGCACUGUCAGUUCAGUUAUGCAAUACCGCAAUAAGCAAAUGAUGGACAGAGGGUCCAGAAUGAGCUGAAGCUCAGUCAUUGCCACCAGGUUUGAAGUUUUAAGAGAUUCAAGCGCGGCUUUUUAGGGCUUUGUCCAGAAGAUUUGAGAGAAUGAGCGAGAGAGCCAUUAUAGAAUCUCUUCUUGAGUAGAAGUUACAACCUGUAUGAAUGGCGUCGGUACAUAGCAAAUCCAGUAGAAGUUGGGGAGGCGAAGAAGCCCAUUUUGGAGAAAGGAUGCCACGGCCAUGGGGCAUGGGCCUUUGCGGCCCAAUCAGCUAUAGAGUUAGCUUCCCGUCUGCAAUGCUGUAUACGCGGCUGAGAGAAGCAGGGAAUCAGUGCUGCAGCAUCGGCGAACAACACACGACAGUCCCACGGCGGUAAUCGGCGAUGAUUGACGAUUUCCACAAGCACGAGGCAAUCAGAUUCGACCAGUAGCGGGGAGGAAGCGGGGACACUACCGGAGAAUCCGUCCAUCAAAAUGCCCGAGUGAUCUCUACAAACACACGCGAUGGCACCCGUGUGGUUCACCGUUGGAAAAGCCCCAUCAAUAUUGACUUUGAUGCCGCCCGGGAAUCCACACCGAUUAGGGUUCAGAAGUGGUUGUCCUGUGUCUGUCGCCGGCUACACAGUGCUACUGAUAAGCAUUGCAUUGGUAAGAGCCAGAUCCACAAGCUGAUUGGGGUUGGUGCGUUGAUGUCAGAAGGUGAAGUGGUUGCGCGCCUUCCAGAUCUACCAAAGAAGCGAUGCAACUCCAGAGUAGGUGAAUUUGUUUCUGGCCAUUGGAGAAUUUUGAUUUACUCCACCCGGUGAGUGCCAAAGAAGUGUCUUGAAGCUUGCAAGAUAGAGAGGAAACUGGUAGCGGUGAAGAGGCCCAAGCAUCUCUAAUGACCGUGCGGCAGUCCUUGUCUUGAAGCCAAAAGGCUUCGAAAGUGAAAGUCUUCCUCCGCCUUAAAGGAUUGAGUUCAAUAGUUAGUAGGAGUAGGUUAUGAUUUGAGCCCAAUGCAAGAAAAGCAAAGACUUCAGCUUCCGGGGGAUUUUAGUUUAGGCGCUACAUUUACUUUUGGAUAAUCAUCAAGGGUAGGAUGUUGCAGGAUUGGUGCUGUAGUGCGAUCAAUGUGUUGUUCCGAGCUGACCUCCAUGUUUGCUAGUUGUUGAUUAGGGCUAUGAGGUGCCAGCAGGGAGUAGGAGAGGCGAAUGCUGUGGAGUUUCCGGGGAAGCCCAAAAACUUGCACCCAGAAUGCGCAAGUUGUAAAGUCAUAGCAAUGCAAGGGUGUAUUUGGUACCCAAGGCUUCACAAUAACUAGCUUCUCUGCUGGGACUUCUUCAUCCCAAACAUCAACUUCCUGUUCGGACCAGAGUCGACCAAGUCUGUUGCAGAGCGCGGCAAGACGGGCAGUCCAGUUUUAUCCAUCAGCAAGCAUGCCGAAGAGAGGAAGCAGAAAGGGUAGGUAGAUUCCGCAUGCAACGCACCGAUGAAAGUGAAACAGAACAGCUCUGCAGUCGGGACCACGCCAAGAUAACGCGAAGGAUUCAGACGAGAACACCAAGAUAACUUCAAACGAUGAAAUUGAAGGAAUCACCCAGACGGUCAAUAGAGGUGAAGAUGGGCGACAAAAGUGAAAAUUGCACGGUAUGCGUGAGGGGGUUAGGGGUGGGAAUAUGAGAGGCGGAGACUACAAUGAUGAGAUGGGGGUCUCGGUUGGAUGAAACCCAUAGCAAAAUUGGAACGAAGCUCCUGGAAAUUGAGAUGAUGCGAAGGAUUUGAUGGAAAUUGGUGAAGGAAUUGAGGGUUUAGAUGAAGAAGAAGUCUACCAGAGGGUAGAGACAAAAAAAAACUCUACAUAUCGAGAGAAAGACUGCAGUUAAUUCUCCCUAUUCACCAGCAGCAAUUUCUCACACUAAGUUCUCCUUACGUGGAACAUUCAAACUGAGAGAUUAUCGAGUCUGUUUUUUUUUUUUUUUUUUUUUUUUG